AGAGUGGAUGAAUGAGAGUGGAGAUGAAUAGAUGGAGGCAGAGAGCGAGAAUGACGUCAUGAGUAGAGGUAGAGGUAAUGAGAAUUCGAUGCAAGGAAUGAAGGAUGUAUCCGGCGUCA
rnacentral:rRNA from 16 species